rnacentral:rRNA from 1 species
CAGUAGCCGCGGGAAUACGGAGGGCGCGAGCGUUACCCGGAUUUACUGGGCGUAAAGGGCGUGUAGGCGGCCUGGGGCGUCCCAUGUGAAGGGCCACGGCUCAACCGUGGAGGAGCGUGGGAUACGCUCAGGCUAGAGGGUGGGAGAGGGUGGUGGAAUUCCCGGAGUAGCGGUGAAAUGCGCAGAUACCGGGAGGAACGCCGAUGGCGAAGGCAGCCACCUGGUCCACUUCUGACGCUGAGGCGCGAAAGCGUGGGGAGCAAACCGGAUUAGAUACCCGCGUAGUCCCUGUCUCUUAUAC